AGUGAACGCUGGCGGUAGGCCUAACACAUGCAAGUCGAACGGCAGCACAGGAGAGCUUGCUCUCUGGGUGGCGAGUGGCGGACGGGUGAGGAAUACAUCGGAAUCUACUCUGUCGUGGGGGAUAACGUAGGGAAACUUACGCUAAUACCGCAUACGACCUACGGGUGAAAGCAGGGGACCUUCGGGCCUUGCGCGAUUGAAUGAGCCGAUGUCGGAUGAGCUAGUUGGCGGGGUAAAGGCACACCAAGGCGACGAUCCGUAGCUGGUCUGAGAGGAUGAUCAGCCACACUGGAACUGAGACACGGUCCAGACUCCUACGGGAGGCAGCAGUGGGGAAUAUUGGACAAUGGGCGCAAGCCUGAUCCAGCCAUACCGCGUGGGUGAAGAAGGCCUUCGGGUUGUAAAGCCCUUUUGUUGGGGAAGAAAUCCAGCUGGCUAAUACCCGGUUGGGAUGACGGUACCCAAAGAAUAAGCACCGGCUAACUUCGUGCCAGCCGCCGCUGUAA
rnacentral:rRNA from 1 species